rnacentral:rRNA from 1 species
CAGCAGCCGCGGUAAUACGAAGGGGGCUAGCGCUGUUCGGAUUUACUGGGCGUAAAGGGUGCGUAGGCGGACUGAUAAGUCAGAGGUGAAAUCCCGAGGCUCAACCUCGGAACUGCCUUUGAUACUGGGGAUCUCGAGUCCGGGAGAGGUGAGUGGAACUGCGAGUGUAGAGGUGAAAUUCGUAGAUAUUCGCAAGAACACCAGUGGCGAAGGCGGCUCACUGGCCCGGAACUGACGCUGAGGUGCGAAAGCGCGGGGAGCAAACAGGAUUAGAUACCCCCGUAGUCCCUGUCUCUUAUAU